rnacentral:rRNA from 1 species
AACGCACCUUGCGCCCCUUGGUAUUCCGAGGGGCACACCCGUUUGAGUGUCGUGAAAUUCUCAACUCAAAUGCUUUUGCGAGCAUUUGGGCUUGGACUUGGGGGUCUGCCGGCCUGUCUCGGCUCCCCUUGAAUGCAUUAGCUCGGACCCUUGCGGAUCAGCUAUCGGUGUGAUAAUUGUCUACGCCGUGGUUUGUGAAGUAUGAUCGUGUCCGUGCUUCUAACCGUCUCCUUUGCGAGACAAAAACUAUGUUACUUACUAUAAGUAACAUAGGCAUUGACAAUCUGACCUCAAAUCAGGUAGGACUACCCGCUGAACUUAA